rnacentral:tRNA from 1 species
GGCUCGGUAGCUUAGUUGGUAAAGCGCUCGUCUAGCAUACAAGAGUCUGAGUUCAAAUCCCAGCCGAGCAC